GUUAGGAAUAUUGGACAAUGGGCGCAAGCCUGAUCCAGCCAUGCCGCGUGAGUGAUGAAGGCCUUCGGGUUGUAAAGUUCUUUAGCCGAUGAUUAUAAUGACUGUAGUCGGAAAAUAAGCCCCGGCUAACUUCGUGCCAGCAGCCGCGGUAAUACGAAGGGGGCGAGCGUUAUUCGGAAUCACUGGGCGUAAAGCGUGCGUAGGCGGCUUUGCAAGUUGGGAGUGAAAGCCCAGGGCUCAACCCUGGAAUUGCUCUCAAAACUGCAAGGCUCGAAUUCGGGAGAGGAUAGCGGAAUUGUCAGUGUAGCAGUGAAAUGCGUAGAUAUUGACAGGAACACCAGUGGCGUAAGCGGCUAUCUGGACCGAUAUUGACGCUGAGGCACGAAAGCGUGGGGAUCAAACAGGAUUAGAAACCCCUGUAGUCC
rnacentral:rRNA from 1 species